rnacentral:lncRNA from 1 species
CUCUUUUUACCGUCGACACCACCUGGCCAGAGCUGACGAAAUUCACCUCCAUCGAAGUCCUCCCCCAACAACCGUCAGCACCUAAAAUUUCAAAACUCAUCGAAGAAUCCAUCUCUAGUCCAAUCCCCUCAGUAUCUAUAUUUUCAGAAAACCCCGCCCCAGGAGAUUUACCGAUUCCGAUCUCAAAAACUAACCACGGUUGUUUAACUACAGUCGCACUU